GACGAACGCUGGCGGCGUGCCUAAUACAUGCAAGUUGAGCGCUGAAGGUUGGUACUUGUACCGACUGGAUGAGCAGCGAACGGGUGAGUAACGCGUGGGGAAUCUGCCUUUGAGCGGGGGACAACAUUUGGAAACGAAUGCUAAUACCGCAUAAAAACUUUAAACACAAGUUUUAAGUUUGAAAGAUGCAAUUGCAUCACUCAAAGAUGAUCCCGCGUUGUAUUAGCUAGUUGGUGAGGUAAAGGCUCACCAAGGCGAUGAUACAUAGCCGACCUGAGAGGGUGAUCGGCCACAUUGGGACUGAGGCACGGCCCAAACUCCUACGGGAGGCAGCAGUAGGGAAUCUUCGGCAAUGGACGAAAGUCUGACCGAGCAACGCCGCGUGAGUGAAGAAGGUUUUCGGAUCGUAAAACUCUGUUGGUAGAGAAGAACGUUGGUGAGAGUGGAAAGCUCAUCAAGUGACGGUAACUACCCAGAAAGGGACGGCUAACUACGUGC
rnacentral:rRNA from 1 species